rfam:Solanum lycopersicum cultivar Heinz 1706 chromosome 11, whole genome shotgun sequence.
CUCAUGGAGAGUUCGAUCCUAGGUCAGGAUGAAUGUUAGCGGCAUGAUUAACACAUGCAAUUCGUAUGGGAAACACGGAGAACUGUGUGUCCAGUGGCACACGGUUGAGUAACGCGUAAAAACCUACCCUUGGGAGGGGAACAAUAGCUUGAAACGACUACUAAUACCACGUAGGCUAAGGAACAAAAGGAGGAAUACACUCGAGGAAGGGCACGCGUCUGAUUAUUCAGUUGGUGAGGCAAUAUCUUACCGAGGCAAUGAUCAGUAGCUGGUUCGAGAGGAUGAUCAACCACACUAGGACUGAGACAUGGCCCAGACUUCUACGGGAGGCAGCAGUGGGGAAUUUUCCGCAAUGGGCGAAAUCCUAACGGAGCAAUGCCACGUGAAGGUAGAAGGCCCACAGGUCGUGAACUUCUUUUCCCAAAAAAAAAAAGCAAUAAUGGUGUUUGGGGAAUAAGUAUCGGCUAACUCUGUGCCAACAGCCGUGGUAAUACUGAGAAUUCAAGCGUUAUUCGGAAUGAUUGGGUGUAAAGCGUCUGUAGGUGGCUUUUUAAGUCCACCAUCAAAUCCCAUGGCUCAACCCUGGACAGGUGGUACAAACUACCAAGCUGGAGUAUUGUAGGGGCGGAGGGAAUUUCUAGUGGAGCGGUGAAAUGCAUAGAGAUCGGAAAGAACACCAACGGUGAAAGCACUCUACUAGGCUGACACUGACAUUUAGAGACGAAAGAUAGGAGAGCGAAUGGGAUUAGAUACCCAAGUAGUCCUAGCCGUAAACGAUGGAUACUAGGAACUGUGUGUAUCGACCCAUGCGAUGUUGUAGCUAACACGUUAAGUAUCCUACCUGGGGAGUACGUUUGCAAGAAUGAAACUCAAAGGAAUUGACGGGGGACCUCACAAACGAUGGAUCAUGUCGUUUGAUUCGAUGCAAAGCAAAGCACCUUACCAACGCUUGACAUGCCACGAAUCCUCUUAAAAGAGAGGUGCGCAUUCGGGAACGCGGACACAAGUGGUGCAUUAUUGUCAUCAACUCGUGCUAUAAGGUGUUGGGUUAAGUCCCGCAACGAGCGCAACCCUCGUGUUUAGUUUUCAUCGUUAAGUUUGGAACCCUGAACAGACUGCCAGUGAUAAGCCGGAGGAAGGUGAGGAUGACGUCAAGGCAUCAUGCCCUUUAUGCCCAGGGCGACACACGUGCUACAAUGACUGAGACAAAAGGUCGCGAUCCCGCGAGGGUGAGCUAACCCCAAAAAACCGUUCUUAGUUCGGAUUGCAAGCUGCAACUGGCCUGCAUGAAGUCGGAAUCGCUAGUAAUCGCCGGUCAGCCAUACAACGGUGAAUUCGUUCCCGGGACUUGUACACACCACCCAUCACUCUAUGGAGCUGCCCAUGCCUGAGGUCAUUACCUUAACUUCAAGGAGGGGAAUACCGAAGGCAGGGAUAGUGAUUGGAGUGAAGUCGUAACAAGGUACUAGAUGGUAUUCCUGGAUCACUCCUUUU